rnacentral:rRNA from 1 species
UAAGACGGAGGGCGCAAGCGUUGUUCGGAAUUACUGGGCGUAAAGGGCGGGCAGGCGGUCCGUUAAGUCUCCCGUGAAAAUCCGGGGCUCAACCCCGUGAAAUGCAGGAGAUACUGGCAGACUAGAGACCGGUAGAGGCUAGCGGAAUUCCUGGUGUAGCGGUGGAAUGCGUAGAUAUCAGGAAGAACACCUGUGGCGAGGGCGGCUAGCUGGGCCGGAUCUGACGCUCAUCCGCGAAAGCGUGGGGAGCAAACAGGAUUAGAUACCCUGGUAGUCCACGCCGUAAACGAUGGGCACUAGGUACCGGGUCUAUAGACGGAUUCGGUGCCGCAGCUAACGCAUUAAGUGCCCCGCCUGGGGAGUACGGUCGCAAGGCUG